rnacentral:rRNA from 1 species
UACGAAGGGGGCUAGCGUUGCUCGGAAUCACUGGGCGUAAAGCGCACGUAGGCGGAUUGUUAAGUCAGGGGUGAAGUCCUGGAGCUCAACUCCAGAACUGCCUUUUGAUACUGGCGACUCGUAGUCCGGGAGAGGUGAGUGGAACUGCGAGUGUAGAGGUGAAAUUCGUAGAUAUUCGCAAGAACACCAGUGGCGAAGGCGGCUCACUGGCCCGGUACUGACGCUGAGGUGCGAAAAGCCGUGGGGAGCAA